UUUGUUCACACAUCCACUCACACCUGUGCACCCUCUGUAGUUCCGUGGCAGGGGGGACUCUGUCCUCCUGUUGUGGUCCUACGUCUUUACACACACUCUGUAACAAAGUCUCAUGGAAUGCAUGACGCGUUUAACGCAAUACAAUACAACUUUCAGCAACGGAUCUCUUGGCUCUCGCAUCGAUGAAGAACGCAGCGAAAUGCGAUAAGUAAUGUGAAUUGCAGAAUUCAGUGAAUCAUCGAAUCUUUGAACGCACCUUGCGCCCUUUGGUUAUUCCGAAGGGCAUGCCUGUUUGAGUAUCGUGAACACCUCAACUCUCAUGGUUUGCCGUGAUGAGCUUGGACUUUGGGGGUCUUGCUGGCCUUUGGUCGGCUCCUCUCAAACGGAUCAGCUUUCCAGUGUUUGGUGGCGUCAUGGGUGUGAUAACUAUCUACGCCUGUGGUUUUCUGCCAGAUAACCUUCAGUGAUGGAGGUUCGGUGGGGCUC
rnacentral:rRNA from 1 species